rnacentral:rRNA from 1 species
UAGGGAAUCUUCCACAAUGGACGAAAGUCUGAUGGAGCAACGCCGCGUGAGUGUAAGAAGGGUUUCGGCUCGUAAAACUCUGUUGUUAAAGAAGAACAUAUCUGAGAGUAACUGUUCAGGUAUUGACGGUAUUUAACCAGAAAGCCACGGCUAACUACGUGCCAG